UAUACAUGCAGUCGAGCGGACUUGAUGGAGUGCUUGCACUCCUGAUGGUUAGCGGCGGACGGGUGAGUAACACGUAGGUAACCUGCCCAUAAGACUGGGAUAACCCACGGAAACGUGAGCUAAUACCAGAUAGGCAUUUUCCUCGCAUGAGGGAGAUGAGAAAGGCGGAGCAAUCUGCCACUUAUGGAUGGACCUGCGGCGCAUUAGCUAGUUGGUAAGGUAACGGCUUACCAAGGCGACGAUGCGUAGCCGACCUGAGAGGGUGAUCGGCCACACUGGGACUGAGACACGGCCCAGACUCCUACGGGAGGCAGCAGUAGGGAAUCUUCCGCAAUGGACGAAAGUCUGACGGAGCAACGCCGCGUGAGUGAUGAAGGUUUUCGGAUCGUAAAGCUCUGUUGCCAGGGAAGAACGCCUAGGAGAGUAACUGCUCCUAGGGUGACGGUACCUGAGAAGAAAGCCCCGGCUAACUACGUGCCAGCAGCCGCGGUAAUACGUAGGGGGCGAGCGUUGUCCGGAAUUAUUGGGCGUAAAGCGCGCGCAGGCGGCAAUGUAAGUUGGGUGUUUAAACCUAGGGCUCAACCUUGGGUCGCAUCCAAAACUGCAUAGCUUGAGUACAGAAGAGGAAAGUGGAAUUCCACGUGUAGCGGUGAAAUGCGUAGAGAUGUGGAGGAACACCAGUGGCGAAGGCGACUUUCUGGGCUGUAACUGACGCUGAGGCGCGAAAGCGUGGGGAGCAAACAGGAUUAG
rnacentral:rRNA from 1 species